UCAAGUGAACCAUUGCAUUGUAAGUCAGUUACGUCUUUGCUGAAAAGGUCUGCUAAAGAUUCAACUUCAGGUUUCCUGUAGUCCAGUAACCUGUGAUAGAACACGCAUAGAUACCACAUCUUCUGCAAUCUUUCACUUUCACCUUCAAACCUAACAACUUACUGUUAAAUUGGAAAAUGUAUUCUAAGGGGAAGAUAUCAGUACCG
rnacentral:misc_RNA from 1 species